rnacentral:lncRNA from 1 species
AAUGAUUUACGGAUUAUUUACAGUUUUGCUAAAUUAAUUGAUAAAAAAUUAGAACGAUGACCAUGUACCAUGAAAAGAAGUUUAUAAUAAAUUAAUACAAAUGUAUAAUGUGGCUAUAAAUUUUAAAACGAAUUAAAAGAUUAUAGGCUUCAUAUAUAGAUCAUUUACCGAAAACUCACUAUUUUCGUAGGGGGUACACAUAGAUUUUGAGAAAAAUUCAAAAAAUUUAACAAUACUGUUUUAAUGCAUAGUUGAAUCAUUUAAUAACAUAUGAGGAAUUUCAAAGAGGUUUGGAACCUUUGUUGUCUCCGUUUCUCUCGGGAAUAGCAAAUUUAUAAUGGUUAAUCCAAUAAUUUAGAGAGUAUUUGCAGUUUUGCUAAAUUAAUGGAUAAAAAAUUAAAACGAUGUCCAUGUACCAUGAAAAAGAUUUUAUCAUAAAUUAAUUCAACUGUGUAAUGUGGUUAUAAAUUUUAAAAAGAAUUAAAAGAUUAUAGGCUUCAUAUAUAUAGCAUUUAUCGAAAACACACUAUUUUCGUAGGGGUACACAUAGAUUUUGAGAAAAAUUCAAAAAAUUUGAGAAUUCUGUUUUAAUACAUAUUUGAAUCAUGUAAUAAAAUAUGAUGAAGUUCAAAGAGGUUUGGAACCUUUGUUGUCUCCGUUUCUCU